AGUGGAUGGGGAGCAACCUAGUUGUGCGUGUGUAAAGGUAGUGCCAAGAAAAGCGAUGAUCAUGUUGAAAAUCAAUUCCCGGUACCCGAAACCGACACAGGGGGGCAAGUAGAGAAUACUAAGGGGCGCGAGGUAACUCUCUCCAAGGAACUCGGCAAAAUGACCCCGUAACUUAGGGAGAAGGGGUGCCACCGAGAGGUGGUCGCAGUGAAGAGGCCCAGGCGACUGUUUAGCAAAAACAUAGGUCUCUGCAAACUCGAAAGAGGAGGUAUAGGGGCUGACGCCUGCCCAGUGCCGGAAGGUUAAAGAAGUUGGUCAGUCUUAGGAUGAAGCUAGCGACUGAAGCCCCGGUGAACGGCGGCCGUAACUAUAACGGUCCUAAGGUAGCGAAAUUCCUUGUCGGGUAAGUUCCGACCCGCACGAAAGGCGUAACGAUCUGGGCGCUGUCUCGGAGAGAGGCUCGGCGAAAUAGGAUUGUCUGUGAAGAUACGGACUACCUGCAUUUGGACAGAAAGACCCUAUGAAGCUUUACUAUAGCUUGGAAUUGUGUUCGGGCUUCCUGUGCGCAGGAUAGGUGGGAGGCGUAGAAGGUAUUCUUGUGGGGAUACUGGAGCCAACGGUGAGAUACCACUCUCAGGAGGCUAGAAUUCUAACUUAAUUAAGGACAGUUUCAGGUGGGUAGUUUGACUGGGGCGGUCGCCUCCAAAAAGGUAACGGAGGCGUACAAAGGUUCCCUCAGACUGGUUGGAAAUCAGUCGAAGAGUGCAAAGGCAGAAGGGAGCUUGACUGCGAGAAGUACAGUUCGAGCAGGGUGGAAACACGGUCUUAGUGAUCCGACGGUGCUGUGUGGAAGGGCCGUCGCUCAACGGAUAAAAGUUACUCUAGGAUAACAGGCUGAUCUCCCCCAAGAGUUCACAUCGACGGGGAGGUUUGGCACCUCGAUGUCGGCUCAUCGCAACCUGGGGCGGAAGUACGUCCCAAGGGUUGGGCUGUUCGCCCAUUAAAGCGGUACGUGAGCUGGGUUCAGAACGUCGUGAGACAGUUCGGUCCAUAUCCGAUGUAGGCGUGAGAAUAUUGAGAGGAACCUUCCUUAUUACGAGAGGACCGGGAGGGACGCACCGCUGGUGUACCUGUUAUGAUGCCAAUUGUAAACGCAGGGUAGCCAAGUGCGGAGAGGAUAACCGCUGAAAGCAUCUAAGUGGGAAGCCCACCUCAAGAUGAGUAUUCUGGUGUAAGGUCACGGGAAGACGACCCGUAAAUAGGCACGAGGUGGAAGUGCAGAGAUGUAUGAAGCCGAAGUGUACUAAUAGACCGUCGGC
rnacentral:rRNA from 1 species